GGGGGUGAGGCUCAAGUGAGUACCUGCCUAGCAAGUAUGAGAUCCUGAGUUCAAAUCCCAGCUCCAUCA
rnacentral:tRNA from 1 species